rnacentral:rRNA from 1 species
CGAAGGAUGCAAGCGUUAUCCGGAUUCAUUGGGUUUAAAGGGUGCGUAGGCGGUCCUGUAAGUCAGUGGUGAAAGCUCUCAGCUUAACUGAGAAACUGCCAUUGAUACUGCAAGACUUGAGUACAGAUGAUGUUGGCGGAAUAUGACAUGUAGCGGUGAAAUGCAUAGAUAUGUCAUAGAACACCGAUUGCGAAGGCAGCUGACAAAACUGUAACUGACGCUGAGGCACGAAAGUGUGGGGAUCAAACAGG